AUUAAGUUACAUGUACAAGAUCUGUCAUUGUCAAUACAUGCAGGAUCUUGUCAAUUAAUUAAUAUUCCCAAGCUUUUAACACUGACCCUACACUAAGAUACGUAAAUACAGCCAGCUUUUUGGUGCCCUCCGGUGCCGCCCGGUGUAUAGUCCUAUCCCACUGAAUUUACAGACUUUUUCUGAAAUGAUGUCAUAGCCCUGCCUCUCUAAACUCAGCCGCUUGUAAUGAAUGACGU